UACGUAGGGUGCAAGCGUUGCCCGGAUUUAUUGGGCGUAAAGGGCGCGUAGGCGGUUCGGCACGUCCGUUGUGAAAUCGCCCGGCUCAACUGGGCGGGGUCGGCGGAUACGGCCGAGCUGGAGCAAGCUAGGGGGUAAUGGAAUUCCCGGUGUAGUGGUGGAAUGCGUAGAUAUCAAGUGGAACACCAGUGGCGAAGGCGAGUCUCUGGACAUUUCCUGACGCUGAGGCACGAAAGCCAGGGGAGCAAACGGG
rnacentral:rRNA from 1 species